GCCCUAAUGGUCUAGUGGUAAGAUACGUGCUUUGGGUGUUGUCACGCUGUGCACGGGAUCCCAGGUUCGAACCCUGGUUGGGGCC